UGUGCAAGUGAUGAUAAAGAUAGACAGGGAUAUCUGAACACCCCUGUUUGGGUGACUGAUGACUCAAGUCUUAAAUGGGAAUCUCUCUGAUGCAUA